rnacentral:rRNA from 1 species
UGGGGAAUAUUGGACAAUGGGGGCAACCCUGAUCCAGCAAUGCCGCGUGGAGGAUGAAGGUCUUCGGAUUGUAAACUCCUGUUGCCAGGGACGAAUGGCUCCGACCUAACACGUCGGAGAAUGACGGUACCUGGUGAGGAAGCCCCGGCUAACUCUGUGCCAGCAGCCGCGGUAAUACAGAGGGGGCGAGCGUUGUUCGGAAUUACUGGGCGUAAAGGGCGCGUAGGCGGCCUCUUAAGUCGAACGUGAAAUCCCCGGGCUCAACCCGGGAACUGCGUCCGAUACUGGGGGGCUUGAAUCCGGGAGAGGGAUGUGGAAUUCCAGGUGUAGCGGUGAAAUGCGUAGAUAUCUGGAGGAACACCGGUGGCGAAGGCGGCAUCCUGGACCGGUAUUGACGCUGAGGCGCGAAAGCCAGGGGAGCAAAC